AUCAUCAGGGGCAGCACAGCAGCUUUGCAUUGUGCGAAGAGUCUGGUCAAAAUUAUUUAACUAAGGUAAGAAUUCGAGAUAUUACAUGAAUGAAAUGUUGCUUUCCAGAUAAGUGCUUUCCAGGUACUUGAUAAAACCUUGAUACCACUUUCUAAACGGCCAAUUGAAAUAGUUGAAAAAGAGAAAAGUCUUUCAGCUGCAAGUAAUGACUCAAAUGUCACGACCUGUUAUUCUGCAGAACUAAAGGAAAAUGUUUGGAGUUGAAAACUGAUCGGCAUUUUCUCCCAAAGACUCACGCUAGACAAAAGCUGAGAUGGUGACCAAUUUUAGCGAUGAAAGUGGUUGUAAAACAGCUGCAGAUUUCAGAGGCCUCCAUCUCUCUAACAUGCUGGACCGGGAGGAUGAGAGAGGAGGUACGGGACAUAAAGCAGGCAGGAUGGAUGGUUUGAGGCCUCCUGCAGCUGUCGCACAACUUUACCCUCAGGCUACACACACAUUAGCACACGCACGGGGCAACUGGACGUUACAACUAAGACAUAAAUCACCCUUUAACAAAGAGAGUGACAACCAAUCUUAACGGACGCCACAGAUCACAGUGUGAGUGAAUGGCAGCGUGCUACCGAGCAUCUGUGUGUGCUUCAAUAUGCAUGCACGUGUGUGUGUGUGUGUGUGUGUGUGUGUGUGUGUGUGUGUGUGUGUGUGUGUGUGUGUGUGUGUGUGUGUGUACUGUAACAGUUUGAGUGUGUUUAAUUUAUGUAGGAGUAUCACCCGGGAAUAUAAAGAUGACUUCCCGAAGUAAAACUCUUGCUUAUUUAUAUCUUUCAUGCACACACACACACACACACGCACACAGAAAGUCAAGCUUAUCCCCGUUGGCACCUUACAAAUCAACACAUCCUCACAGAUUACCACACACACCUUAAUCUCCCCUUUAAUUCCUCAAUGUCUCAGGCAAAGGUACAAGCCAGCAGAACCCAGAUUAGAUUCAGGCUGCACUCAACUCGACAACUUUGAGGAGCUAAAAAAUACCAACAUGCAGCAAAAAAUCAUCUAAACCAAAGUCCUGAGUCAAGCAUUUGCAUCCGGUUUUUGAGUAAAUCCAACGUGAUUACACAGUGUCAGGAUGUAAUGUGAUAUUUUCUGCAUGCAAUGAAAAAUACAAGACUGUGGAUAUAGACCGCCGGUUGUUGAAUUUAACUGAAAAUGUUCACUUCUGCAAGUCUGCUGUUAUUAACAUUAUAUGAGGUCAGUUCAAGUGAAAAAUAUAAUUUCAAGAAAGCUGCUAAAGGCAUUAAGUAUGUGUAUAUGUUGGCGAGUGAUUGCUCUAUAGGUCAAUAAAUGAUCAAAAACUGAUGUGAUAAAAAGAGGCAGCCCAACAAAAUGUCAGUUAGGAAGCUGCGUAGUGAACAAAACUUUCCAAUCACACAAGUGACAGUAUCCCCAUCAUUUCUUGUACAUCGUGUUAACACAUUUGGUCGAUUGUUUUGAUACGUAAUAGGUAAACAAGAAGACAAUAUAACAUUAAUAAGCUGAAAUGAGGCAUGUCGCCACCGAUCUUAGCAGAGGCGGACGCGCUUCUGUCCAUACUUUUUUUAUUUUUUUGCCCAGUGCAUGUAAACUGGGACAAGGACGGUAUUCCAGGGAAAUCACCUGAUUGAAAAAUGAUCGUAGCUUGACUUAACAGUAGGGUCCGACCAAUAUAUCAGCGAGCUGAUUAAAUCGGCCAAUUUUAGCUUGUUUGAGAGUAAUUGGUAAUCGGCCAAAACUUGACGAUUGUUGCCGAUAUUUUCAGAAAUAAAAUGCGGAGAAGAUUUGGUUUCACUUCGAAAAUGUUCCACUUUAAAUAUGCUAAACAAGUGUUUAGUUUUCUUUUUAUCAAAUGGUAUCUAAAUAAAACCCAAACAGUUGACACAGACCCCAUACAAGUGCAAGAGUGAAUUUGGAAUCCAGACAUCUUGUUACAGUCUGGCGUCUUUGUUAGUCUAGUGUUUGAAAAAGCAUGUAAAGGUUUAUUAAAAAUGUUGAAUCUAAGCAUAAUCAUUUAGAGAUUUUUGCAUUUAUAUGUGUGUGUGUGAGAGAGAGAGAGAGAGAGAGAGAGAGAGAGAGUCAGGACAGCUAUGUAUAAGCCAGUCAACAAAGGGGUCUGGUGCUGCUGGUGUGGUCUCCUCUCCAUCUAUCUCAGGUAGAGUACGUUUCUGUUAAUGCCCUCUAAGAUCUCUGUGGCGCUAUCCCAGAAACCCCCUCUGUCUCCCACAAUCCUCUUUGCUCCGUGGGUCUCUAAGCACCUUGGCGUAGGGAAGGUGGUUUGCUGCAGAUUGUCUUAAUCUCUCCUUUUUCUUCAGAAAAGGGCUAAGCCAACCCAAAUGUCACUCUCCAUAUCGCUUGGAAAACCAAUUGGCUGCAAGGGUAGUAUACAACUAAAUAGUAGUAGUGGUAUAAAAAAAGGUUUGAUUGAUUUAACAGAACAGGCUAAGUAGAUAUUGCAUUAGGGUUAGGGUUAGGGUUUUUGGGUUAGGGUUAAAAUCACUGUCCAGGACCUUUUUAGGAGCAUGUUUAAGACCAUUUGGAGUGAAUUGGUACAAAAAAAUUAGGAAGAAUGUCAAAAAUGUUUGAGAGUGAAGGGUUUAGUUGGGGUAACAUUGGGGUAUUGGGGUUAGGGGUUAGUGUUAGGGUUAUGGUGUCACGGUUAGAGUUAUGGGGUUAUGGGGUUAGGGUUGAAAUCACUGUCCAGGACCUUUUAAGGAGCAUGUUUCAGACCAUUUAGAGUCAAUUGCUACAAACAAAAAAAAAUGUCAAAAAAAAAAUUCUGUUGGGGUUAAGGUUGUGGUAUUGGGGUUAGGGUCAGAGUUUCGGGGUUAGUGUUAGGGGGUAAGGAUUAAAAUCACUGUCAAGGACCUUUUUAGGAGCACGUUUCAGAUCAUUUGGAGUCAAUUGGUACAAAAAAAAUUAGGAAAAAUGUCCAUUUUUAAGUGUAAGGGUUACGUUGGAGUAACAUUGGAGUAUUGGGGUUAGGGUUAAAAUCGCGGUUAGGGUUAGGGGGUUAAGAUUAAAAUCACUGUCAAGGAACAAAAAAAAAAAUUAGGAAAAAUUUUAAGUGUAAGGGUUACGUUGGGGUAACAUUGGAGUAUUGGGGUUAGGGUUAAAAUCACUGUCCAGGAGCUCUUUAGUAGCAUGUUUCAGACUAUUUGUAAUGAAUUAGUACAGAAAAAAAUAAUAAAAAUUUCAAAUAUUUUUUCUUAAUGUAAGUUAUAAACUCGAAAGUUUCAUGGUGAUAUCUGUCAGUUGAAAAUUGAGUAUAGAAACAUAUACUCUCCCCUUCUCUGGCCUUCACAUCAGCUCACCUCAACCUCAGUCUCUGAACGAGCUUCCUUUUUCCUCAUCGAACUCUACCACAAUUCUCCGGUAAAGAAAAAUCAGCAGCAAUACCGUUUAUUGAGUCAGAAAAAUCAGUGCCGUUGAUAAACUAAAAGUUAGUUGUUUCUCAUUUGUGAAAAAAGUAAUCACGCGUUAAAGCUGCGACUUCGCUGAAGAUAAACUCCUGUGGUUUAGAAAAGGUUGUUCCAAGGUUGCACAGCUGAUGAAAAACGAACAUAAUAAACUCUAAAAAACAACAACAAACUAAUAUACGUCUUCUCUUGGACCAGUAAAUCCUGCGCCAGUGUUUUUGUCUCCUGUGUUUUGGGUUUUUUGGGAUGUUUUUAGCACAGCAGCUAUUAGCCUUCAUGUUAAUCCCCUCAGAGAAUAAACUCAUUAGAACAUUAAUCACUGGAUUCUAAUUACCUCUCUCUCUCCCUCUCUCUCUCUUUCCGUCUCUUCUCCCUGUGUCUCUCUUAUUCAGGUACUUAGACAGACCACACAGCAGCGAAUUCAUGGGGGAAAAGCGACAGUAAAACAAACUCCAAACUCAGAUGACCCGGCGGCUACAGUGUGUACAGCCUGUAUUUAGCGCUGUCAGACAAGUAUUUUUUUUUACAGAUG
rnacentral:lncRNA from 1 species